GACGAACGCUGGCGGCGUGCUUAACACAUGCAAGUCGAACGACGUGGCGAACGGGUGAAUAACGCGUAAUCAACCUGCCCUUCAGAGGGGGACAACAGUAGGAAACGACUGCUAAUACCGCAUACUGAAGGUGGGGAGUGUGUUUGAUGAGCUAGUUGGAGGGGUAACGGACCACCAUGGCGAUGAUCAUUAGCCGGUCUGGGAGGAUGAACGGCAACAUUGGUACUGGGACACGGCCCAGACUCCUACGGUAGGCAGCAGUGGGGAAUCUUCCGCAAUUGACGAAAGUCUGACGGCGCAACGCCGCGUGAGUGAUGACGGCCUUCGGGUUGUAAAGCUCUGUUAAUCGGGACGCGGUACCGGAAUAGAAAGCCACGGCUAACUACGUGCCAGCAGCCGCGGUAAUUC
rnacentral:rRNA from 1 species